rnacentral:rRNA from 1 species
AUUGAACGCUGGCGGCAUGCUUAACACACGCAAGUCGAACGGCAGCAUGUAUGGGGAAACCCAUAUGAUGGCGAGUGGCGAACGGGUGAGUAACGCGUAGGGAUCUACCCUAGAGAGUGGGAUAACCCGAGGAAACUGGGGCUAAUACCGCAUAAGCUCUGAGGAGGAAAGGCAGGCGAGAGCCUGUUGCUGUAGGAAGGACCUGCGUCCGAUUAGCUAGUUGGUAGGGGAAAGGCCUACCAAGGCGACGAUCGGUAGCUGUUCUGAGAGGAAGACCAGCCACACUGGGACUGAGACACGGCCCAGACUCCUACGGGAGGCAGCAGUGGGGAAUAUUGGACAAUGGGGGGAACCCUGAUCCAGCGAUGCCGCGUGUGUGAAGAAGGCCUGCGGGUUGUAAAGCACUUUCAGCGGGGAGGAAGUUGAUUGGGUUAAGAGCCUGAUUGAUUGACGGUACCUGCAGAAGAAGCACCGGCUAACUCUGUGCCAGCCGCCGCGGUAACAC